rnacentral:rRNA from 1 species
AAUGAACGUUGGCGGCGUGGAUUAGGCAUGCAAGUCGAGCGAGAACCCGCAAGGGGGACAGCGGCGAACGGGGUAGGAAUACGUAGGUAACGUACCCUCGGGGCGAGGACAGCCACGGGAAACUGUGGGUAAUACUCGAUAAACUUCCCAAUCAUUAUCGGAGGGAAGCAAUGGGUGUGAUUCCACCUGAGGAGCGGCUUACGCAGUAUCAGCUAGUUGGUGAGGUAACGGCUCACCAAGGCUACGACGCUUAGGGGGUGUGAGAGCAUGGCCCCCACCACUGGCACUGAGACACUGGCCAGACACCUACGGGUGGCUGCAGUCGAGAAUCUUCGGCAAUGGACGCAAGUCUGACCGAGCGACGCCCGCG